GUGAUUCUCGUGCCUCAGCCUCCGGAGUAGCUGGGAUUACAGCCACCAUCACAAAUGAAAAAAGGAUGGAGAAGAACAAGUCUGGAUGUUGGGUUGGGGACAAUCCAACGUGGUAUGACAUCUACUUGUGGACACACUCUGCUUUCUGGUUUUUCUGUUUCUGAUUAGAAACUCAAAAACAAUAUGAGAAACAUACCUGAAAACAGCAGAAGAUCUGGAUCAUUCCGGCCAGCAAUUCAAAGUCUGCCAAAGGGAAAUCAAGUAUUGUAGAAACCUACGGGGCCUCUCAGAGCAUUUUACCAGAACUGUGGCAGGGUGACUGAUUGUGGUAUUCUCUUUGUAUUCUCUAUGCUGAAUCAUUUGCCAGAACUUCCAAUAUAUGAUUGCAAAACUAGACUUUUUUAAUGUUAUCUUGUCUCAGAUUUCUAAGCCUGAAAGAUUGAGGCUGUUGCUGAACGAUGCUUAAUUAACCAAGGCAUUGAGCUCCAACCAUGAGGCUUUGAGGAGUUUGAUAUCUAGCCCCUCUUGGCAUCAUAUGCUAAGACUGGCUGUGAGGCUAUGAGAAUCUUAAGUACCUGCACGCUGUUCAUAAGUGGUACUCUAAAACUCCUGAGGAAAUAAGGGAGACUGGAAUUAGUGGGAUUAGCUUGUGGGAUUAGCUUGUGUCCUUUGGCUUAGCCUCUUUCUCUCCAGAAAUUUCACUUUUGGCUCAGUCCUCACAGGGGAAGAAAGUCUUGUCCAAAGAUGGCGUCUACCCUGUGCUCCACUGUGUAUCCCAGAGGAGAGCAUCUUUACUGUGGAAUGGACUUCCAGCUGACUCAUGUUGGGGAAAGGAAGCAACACAGGAGCUUAAGAGGAAAAUUGAAAGAAACCACAGACCCUUUGAAAGAAGUGGCAAACUGCAGCUUACACCAUGAGCCAGGCAGAAAACUCUGAGUCCUCAGAGUGUGAAAGGAAGAGAAACUGCCUCUGGGAUAUGCACUCCCACUGGGGAACCUGGCAAUCCAGGCCACGGGGAAGACCUUAACCCUACCCAGUGCUGGAGCUGAUUUAAUGAGCUGAGGGGAGUAUAUGAGAAGGAGCAGCUUCAGGAUGUGCUUUGCUUGCACUCCUAGACUCUACUGGGGACAGAGGGAAGCCAUUCCUGAUCCUACCUCACAGAGGACCAUGCAGAAGUCAGCCAACUAGCUCAGGCGGUGGCCAUGGGCUGAGAGGAGUGAGAAGCUCCCAACUGAGAUUCACAAUAUAAUCUCUAGCAGGGAUGGACCUCCUUGACCAGAACUGAGGGGCAAGUGGGAAGUGCGCUGUGCCCACAGGUGUAGGAGCUGGGUGCCCCUGCUUCGCUAGCAGAUCAGGAGGGGCAUGGCCUGAGCAGUUUUUGUCUUGGCAGCCAGAGAAGGCUUAUGGUCUGGGACAGUUUUGAGUGCUGAAUGCAGCCUGCUUGCAACCUAGAUGGCCGCUGCCAGUAGAACACUGUGGGUCUGAGACCUGUCUUGCCAAGUGCAUAGGGGCUGAGUGGGGCUUACUGCCACCUGUACUCCCCACUUCCUGUGUGGACUCUUCUGUGCGGCAGGGGCAACUGCACUCCUCCCUGGAACAUUAUCCCAGCAUCCAGAGAACUGCCCUCUGAUCCCCACUGGGCCACUGAUUGCACCUGCACGUGGAUAGCCAGAGCGCGAACUUGCCUGACUCAGCCCCGACCUGGUUUGCCUUUUUACCCACCCUGGUAGCUUAACACAAAGGACAGAAACUUUCGGGAGUGUUAUGGACCUGCCCAUUGCUUGAGACACCAGAGUACCUCCCCUGGUCACAUAAGCCAAGCAUGAAUUCCACCACUACUACUGCAGUCAGUGCUCUUUCGCACCAACUGCACCUCCUGGCUAUAGGCCAAUCAACAUAGUCCAUUACAACAUCUGUAGGCAGAAUAACACAGCACUGGGAAGGAGAAAACUUUUGCAUGACUACAGCUACCACCAUUGCCUGCAUCACCCUGGCUAACCAGGAGGUCUUGAGUCUGUUCACAUGACCAGAUCAUUACUACUACAACUGAAAUUAGAGAAAGCCAGCACACUAAGGCUAUUUGUAACCAAAGAAUCUCACAGAGUUUACUUUACUCCUCUGCCAGCCCCAUCAGAGCUGGUGCUGGUACCCACUGCUGGGAGACUUGAGGAUAAGUCACAUCGCUGGACCCUUUGCAGACAUUCCCUAGCACAGGCCUGGAAUGUAGCAGCCCCAUUGGGUGGCCAGAUCCAGAGCCGCAGCAGCAAUCAUAGUAGUCUGGCACUCAGGGACUCCUACUCCUAGGGUAAGCAGGAGUGCACCACAUGAAGGGAGCACCCUGUGGGACAAAGGAAUCCAGAUGGCAGGCUUUGAGUCUCAGAACUUUACAAUUGUGGGAAAUUUCUUUCAGCAGAGAGACAGGUGCAGUGCUGGGCUCAGUGGGGAAGUCUGUGGCUCUACCUCACCAGUCAGGCAGCCCUGGUGCUUGUGAAGGGUCUUGGAGAAUAGGACUUCUCCCCCUCAUGCACCACUGCUGACACAGCUGGGGUUUCUCACAAAGGAACUCGGCAUGAGUGCACCUGUAGACAGCCUUUCUGGGACCCUUCAGGUGACUGCAUUCCCACAGGACAAGUGCCCUCCAGGCUCAGGCUUGUAUGAGAGGUAGAGUCACAAUUCAUCUCUACAUUCUUGCAGCUGAAAAGACGUGUCUGUCUGAAGGUCUAACAUCCAGUAUCUGUAAGGAACUUAAACAAAUUUACAAAAAACCCCUAACCCACCCCAUUAAAAAGUAGGCAAAGGAUAU
rnacentral:lncRNA from 1 species